ACGGUAACAGGAAGCAGCUUGCUGCUUCGCUGACGAGUGGCGGACGGGUGAGUAAUGUCUGGGAAACUGCCUGAUGGAGGGGGAUAACUACUGGAAACGGUAGCUAAUACCGCAUAAUGUCGCAAGACCAAAGAGGGGGACCUUCGGGCCUCUUGCCAUCAGAUGUGCCCAGAUGGGAUUAGCUAGUAGGUGGGGUAACGGCUCACCUAGGCGACGAUCCCUAGCUGGUCUGAGAGGAUGACCAGCCACACUGGAACUGAGACACGGUCCAGACUCCUACGGGAGGCAGCAGUGGGGAAUAUUGCACAAUGGGCGCAAGCCUGAUGCAGCCAUGCCGCGUGUAUGAAGAAGGCCUUCGGGUUGUAAAGUACUUUCAGCGGGGAGGAAGGCGAUGUGGUUAAUAACCGCGUCGAUUGACGUUACCCGCAGAAGAAGCACCGGCUAACUCCGUGCCAGCAGCCGCGGUAAUACGGAGGGUGCAAGCGUUAAACGGAAUUACUGGGCGUAAAGCGCACGCAGGCGGUCUGUCAAGUCGGAUGUGAAAUCCCCGGGCUCAACCUGGGAACUGCAUCCGAAACUGGCAGGCUUGAGUCUCGUAGAGGGGGGUAGAAUUCCAGGUGUAGCGGUGACAUGCGUAGAGAUCUGGAGGAAUACCGGUGGCGAAGGCGGCCCCCUGGACGAAGACUGACGCUCAGGUGCGAAAGCGUGGGGAGCACACAGGAUUAGAUACCCUGGUAGUCCACGCCGUAAACGAUGUCGACUUGGAGGUUGUGCCCUUGAGGCGUGGCUUCCGGAGCUAACGCGUUAAGUCGACCGCCUGGGGAGUACGGCCGCAAGGUUAAAACUCAAAUGAAUUGACGGGGGCCCGCACAAGCGGUGGAGCAUGUGGUUUAAUUCGAUGCAACGCGAAGAACCUUACCUGGUCUUGACAUCCACAGAACUUUCCAGAGAUGGAUUGGUGCCUUCGGGAACUGUGAGACAGGUGCUGCAUGGCUGUCGUCAGCUCGUGUUGUGAAAUGUUGGGUUAAGUCCCGCAACGAGCGCAACCCU
rnacentral:rRNA from 1 species